rnacentral:rRNA from 1 species
GUGGGGAAUAUUGGACAAUGGGCGAAAGCCUGAUCCAGCCAUGCCGCGUGUGUGAAGAAGGUCUUCGGAUUGUAAAGCACUUUAAGUUGGGAGGAAGGGCAGUAAGUUAAUACCUUGCUGUUUUGACGUUACCAACAGAAUAAGCACCGGCUAACUUCGUGCCAGCAGCCGCGGUAAUACGAAGGGUGCAAGCGUUAAUCGGAAUUACUGGGCGUAAAGCGCGCGUAGGUGGUUCAGCAAGUUGGAGGUGAAAUCCCCGGGCUCAACCUGGGAACUGCCUCAAAAACUACUGAGCUAGAGUACGGUAGAGGGUAGUGGAAUUUCCUGUGUAGCGGUGAAAUGCGUAGAUAUAGGAAGGAACACCAGUGGCGAAGGCGACUACCUGGACUGAUACUGACACUGAGGUGCGAAAGCGUGGGGAGCAAACAGGAUUAGAAACCCGGGUAGUCC